rnacentral:rRNA from 1 species
UACGUAGGGGGGCUAGCGUUGUCCGGAUUUAUUGGGCGUAAAGAGCGUGUAGGCGGCCAGGUAGGUCUGCUGUGAAAACUCGAGGCUCAACCUCGAGACGUCGGCGGAAACCAUCUGGCUAGAGUCCGGAAGAGGAGAGUGGAAUUCCUGGUGUAGCGGUGAAAUGCGCAGAUAUCAGGAAGAACACCCGUGGCGAAGGCGGGGUCUCUGGGCCGAUAUUGACGCUGGAGGAGCGAAAGCGUGGGGAGCGAACAGG